GAAAGAGAGGUGAGGGAGGUGGGACCGGAGCCAGAAUCUUUUUCCCUCUAUGGGGAGAAGGGAACAGAGAGGCCUGGGAAGUCCCAUUUGCCCAGUGGAACAGAGGGAACAAAGCAAUUCUCUGUGCAGUUGAAAAAUCAGUAAUGAGGCAAUGUUCUGAACAACGAAGUUCAAGAGCUGGAAGCAAUUAUGCAGGGGUUCUCUCCUUCCCAUUUUAUAAGUGAGGAGACUUGAGGACCAGAGAGCAACUGGCCCUGGGUCUCAUGCUAGAAUCUGGGCUUCCCUAUGUCCAUUUCGAAGAUGGCUCUGGUACAUCCUCACGGCCUCAUGCAAUUGAGAGUCAGUAGACAGAGAAAGCACACACAUUUUUCUGUCCAUCAUGAAAAUAACUUUUAAUUUUUAUGGACUUCUUCCUUGGCAUGAGACCAAACUACACGAUCUCAUUCAUAAUUUUUGAGUACCUACCUGUGCAAGGCACAGACUGUAUUUAUGAAUGAUUAAUCUUUGUCAUUUUCUUUGAAAAUGGCAAUUUCCAUACUUUUUAAAAUUUUAAUGUUUUAAAAAGAGUUAUAUCUCUUUUAAUUGUCAGAACUCUGAGUAGUGGGCCUCUGUUCAAAAGAGGAAAUGGAGGUGCAGAGGGGGAGUGAUUUGCCCAAAGGAAUCUGCCCUAGGGAAUGGAGCUAGGAUGAACCAGGCUCUGCUUGCUUCCAGCCCUGUGCUAUCCCUCAAGCCCUCUGCCUCCCAGGGCCAGGAACAUCAGCUUCUUUCUGGGUCUGCAAGAACAGGGACUGUUCAUCUCACGUUCUCCACUGAGACAGCAUUGGGAUUCAUGCUCAGCAGGUCUCUGAGAUAUAGAUAAAUGUUGAAUGAAUGGAUGAAUCUAAGCAUAUCAUUUCCCCCUCUUUAGGCAAAGAAGAAAGGAGGGGGCUUCUUGGCUCCUGGGAGAAGCAGAAAGUCUGUCUUUUGGAGAACAGGGACAGCAUGUCCUUAGAGACAGGAAGAGAGAACCCGCCCCCUUCCUGGGAACUCACUGCUCCCCUAACUUGGCACAGGGAUGACCUGCAGCUGCCUCAGGCAUGGACUAGAGUCAGGCCAAGUGGCUGGAGUCGGACACACUCAGGAUGGCUGUGUGACACAAGAUUGGCUCCCUGAGGCCAGAGGCCAAGGUAGUGACAGUCACAGUUGUACAGCUCAAUCAGAAAUCAGGCCAAGCCAGGAAUAGGGGAAUGACCUUUCCAACAGCUGAGGUUUCGGGGUGCUGUGUCAGAUGACUGAAUGGAAGCCCCCUAAGGCCUGGGACCUUGUCUAUCUGGUUUCUACUGAGCCUCCAGGACCCAGUAUAGUGCCUUAACAGUGACUCCGUAAAUCUUUGGGACUCACUAUGUCACCCAGGCUGAAUUCGAAGUCUUGGGCUCAAGUGAUCCUCCUGACCCAGCCUCCUGAGUAGCGGGAACUACAAGCACACGCCACUGCACCCUUUCUGUGUGUUUCUGUAUGCGUACUUUGUAAAUAAUACUUUUGUAAUCAGAAAAAAAUAUAUAGGUUUUUAAAAAUACCCAGGUCUGUAGGAUGGUAAGGAAGAAAAAAAAUAGCCAGUUCUCAGGUUUGUUGAGAAAAAUAAUGUCAGAAUAAAGUGGCACUGUAUCUGGAACAUAGUAUUCACUCAAUGAGCAGUAGGAACUCUGUGAACUGUUUUUGCUUUUAGCUACCAUUUUCAGAAGUGCUGAGUAUGUGCCAUAUGUGUUAUUCACAUCACCUUUCUCAGGCUGGCACCCUAUUUUCUUUUCUUCAAGUAGCUUUCAUCACCAGCUUUUAUCUGAUAUGUUGUUUUUGCUGGUUUCCACAUAAUUCAGUAUCCUGAAUCCUACCUGGCUUAGAGUAGGUGCUCAAUAAUAAAUGUUGAACAUCAAAAAAAGAAUGCACAGAUCCUACCUAGAUCAGGGCUCAGUGGGGCAGAAGGUAGGAAU